UACAGAGGGUGCAAGCGUUAAUCGGAAUUAUUGGGCGUAAAGCGCGUGUAGGCGGCUUUGCAAGUCGGGUGUGAAAUCCCUCGGCUCAACCGAGGAAGUGCGCCCGAAACUGCAGAGCUUGAGUACCGGAGAGGAUGGCGGAAUUCCCGAAGUAGAGGUGAAAUUCGUAGAUAUCGGGAGGAACACCGGUGGCGAAGGCGGCCAUCUGGACGGAUACUGACGCUGAGACGCGAAAGCGUGGGUAGCAAACAGG
rnacentral:rRNA from 1 species